GACGAACGCUGGCGGCGUGCCUAAUACAUGCAAGUCGACCUUAGUGGCGAACGGGUGAGUAACACGUGGGUAACCUGCCCAUCAGAAGGGGAUAACACUUGGAAACAGGUGCUAAUACCGUAUACUGAUGGAUGGACUCGCGGUGCAUUCGCUAGUGGGUGGGGUAACGGCUCACCAAGGCCACGAUGCAUAGCGGACCUGAAGGGUUGUGCGCCCAAAUGGGAACUGAGACACGGCCCAAACUCCAACGGGGGGCAGCGGUGGGAAAUCUUCGGCAAUGGACGAAAGCCUGACCGGGCAACGCCGCGUGAGUGAGGAAGGUUUUGGGAUCUUAAAACUCUUUUGUUGGAGAAACGGUAUCUAACCAGAAAGCCACGGCUAACUACGUGCCAGCAGCCGCGGUAAUAC
rnacentral:rRNA from 1 species